AUACGGAGGGAGCAAGCGUUAUUCGGAAUCACUGGGCGCAAAGGACGCGUAGGCGGGUUUGUAAGUCAGGUGUGAAAUCCUACAGCUCAACUGUAGAACUGCACUUGAAACUACAGACCUAGAGUAUGGAAGGGGCAGAUGGAAUUAGUGGUGUAGGGGUAAAAUCCGUAGAUAUCACUAGGAAUACCGAAAGCGAAGGCGAUCUGCUGGGACAUUACUGACGCUGAGGCGUGAAAGCGUGGGGAGCAAACAGGAUUAGAAACCCCAGUAGUCC
rnacentral:rRNA from 1 species